CCAUUUUGUUGCUAACUUGUCUGAGCUGUAUGUAUUGCAGGGAUAUAUAUACCAAAUAAAUGAGAAAGUGCAGUAUAUUCAAGGACAAUUAUGCAGUACAAAACAGUGAACAGCCAUUUACCCGCAGUUGAGACAUACAAAUUUGAGACAUAAAAAUACAGAUGGUCUUUUACCCAAGAUCUGAAUGUUUAAGAAUAAUUAAAGAGCCUGAAAAAAAGAAUACAUAAGUCUCAUGGUGCUAUACUGGAUUAUGAGCAUAUUUGCAGCCACAGAGGUCAAUGUAAAAUUGGGGGUUGUGUAAAUGAUAUAACAAUAUAAA